UUUUUAUUAACCAAAUAAGGGCCCCAGGAGGGCAUAUAGCAUACAGACAAUAUUAUUAUAAACAAUAACAUAUGCAAUACACAGACAAUACAAGAUAUAUAACAAGUGUUAACAAAUUAAUAAAAUAAAAGUAGCAAUGUAUUAUUAUUCAAUGAAUACUUUGUUGACAUCAGUGACUCAAGUGCACCCGGUAAGUGCAUUUUCACUUUGAAAAGACCAACAAGAGGCAUUAGUAGUUUGUGGGGAGAAAAUAUAAAAAAAAAAAUAAAAAAAAAAAAACAAUUUAAGCACUCGCACAUUUGACCAUGAGGUAUACUGCAAAUAACAAGUAUUAUUGUAUAGCAAUAUAAUAUUUCCCACAGAACGUAACCAAAAGUAAGCGUGCAAUAAAUUCUAUUAUUGCACUAGUUCAAUAAAUUUUCAAAAUUCAUGACGUCAUCAACGUUUAAAUCUUAGUUUAAGCCAAUUUUUACUGUCAAAUAUUAUAUUGCUAUACAAUAAAAGG
rnacentral:lncRNA from 1 species